UGCAGCAACAUGAAUGGAACUGAAAGGCAUUGUGUUAAGUGAAAUAAACCAGGCACAGAAAGACAAAUAUUGCAUAUUCUCAUUCAUAUGUGAGAGCUAAAAAGGUUGAUUUCAUGGAGGUAGAGAAUAGAAUAGUAGUUAUCAGAGGCUAUAAAGGGUAGGGGGAGGUUG